GCGCCGGUGGUGUAAUGGCGUAGAGCAUUCCCGCCCGGUCAGAGGGAGGUGCGGGUUCGAGUCCCACCUGGCGCU
rnacentral:tRNA from 1 species